UACGAAGGGGGCUAGCGUUGCUCGGAAUCACUGGGCGUAAAGCGCACGUAGGCGGCUUUUUAAGUCAGGGGUGAAAUCCUGGAGCUCAACUCCAGAACUGCCUUUGAUACUGAGAAGCUUGAGUCCGGGAGAGGUGAGUGGAACUGCGAGUGUAGAGGUGAAAUUCGUAGAUAUUCGCAAGAACACCAGUGGCGAAGGCGGCUCACUGGCCCGAUACUGACGCUGAGGUGCGAAAGCGUGGGGAGCAAACAGGG
rnacentral:rRNA from 1 species